GUUCUCAGCUCCAAAAUCUCAUGUUAUCCUUUCUGGUGAUACCUGUUGGACACAUUGUCUUUUUGCAAUAUACAAGCUUCAGUAAAAAAAACUCAACUCGAGUCAUUUGAAGUUUCAUGUUUAACUGAGUGGAUAGCUGGAUGUUCAUUUAGUGAGAACAUUACAGUACUUGGCAGAGAUGGGAGUAAGUCCCAUACAUGCAAGUCUCAAGUCAGUCGCAAGUCUUAGCCCUCAAGUCUCAAGUAAGUCCAAGUCGUCAGUAAGGAGGAUCAAGCAAGUCAAGUCCAAGCACAGCUUUAGUCAAGCAAGUCAAGUCAAGUCUCAUCAAGUCAAGUCAAGUCAAGUCAUUAUCAAAUUCGUUUUUUUCAAAUGUCUGUAUUUCAUCAAACCUGUUUUUCAGAGUAAUUUUUUUUUAAAUGUAAGAAGAUAAGUUACGUAAUGAAUCAGCUCAACAUGAAUGAAUCUCAAACAGCUUUUUAUUUGUGUGUGUGUGUGUGAUGUGUGUGAUAGAGAGAGAGAGAGAGAGAGAGAGAGAGAGAGGUGAACAUCAGAACAUGUUCAUCAGAACAACUGACAAUUGUGAGCCAUUACAAAUGGCCAUUACACUUCCAAAAAAUCGUACGUUUUAACUAUGUUACCAUACCAGCUGGCCGAUUUAAUCAUAUAAUAAAGCCUAUUUGUCUUUUC
ensembl:lncRNA